CAGCAGCCGCGGGAAUACGUAGGUGGCAAGCGUUGUCCGGAUUUAUUGGGCGUAAAGCGAGCGCAGGCGGUCAAUUAAGUCUGAUGUGAAAGCCCCCGGCUCAACCGGGGAGGGUCAUUGGAAACUGGUUGACUUGAGUGCAGAAGAGGAGAGUGGAAUUCCAUGUGUAGCGGUGAAAUGCGUAGAUAUAUGGAGGAACACCAGUGGCGAAGGCGACUCUCUGGUCUGUAACUGACGCUGAGGCUCGAAAGCGUGGGUAGCAAACAGGAUUAGAUACCCCAGUAGUCCCUGUCUCUUAUAC
rnacentral:rRNA from 1 species